GGCAACACUACGCACUACGACCAGCCCACUCAAGUCACAUACCCCCACACGCUCCCCAAACGCAACCACGGGCGCUACCAAGCACCGGAGGGCAGCAAUGCGGGAGACACGCCCCACAAGGAGCACAGUCACACACAUACACAGGUCUCGCAGCCACCAGAAACAUAGGUUAGACAACUGCCUCCCUAGACCACCAACACAGAACAUAAUAAACACAGCCACAACGACCGCCCGGGCAACCUAAAACAAUGACUGAAACCACCACCUAAGUGCACAGUUCAUGCCCCACAACUACACAAAGAGGCAAGGCACAGGCAACGCAACAUUUACUGACACACAAGACGAAUACCCACCAAUACUCCCACACGAAAUGGGAAAC